UACGGGGGGGGGUAAGCGUUGUUCGGAAUUACUGGGCGUAAAGGGCUCGUAGGCGGCCAACUAAGUCAGACGUGAAAUCCCUCAGCUUAACUGGGGAACUGCGUCUGAUACUGGAUGGCUUGGAUUCGGGAGAGGAAUGCGGAAUUCCAGGUGUAGCGGUGAAAUGCGUAGAUAUCUGGAGGAACACCGGUGGCGAAGGCGGCAUUCUGGACCGACAUUGACGCUGAGGAGCGAAAGCCAGGGGAGCAAACGGG
rnacentral:rRNA from 1 species